rnacentral:rRNA from 1 species
UACGGUGGGAGCAAGCGUUGUUCGGAUUUACUGGGCGUAAAGGGCGCGUAGGCGGCUUUUUAAGUCAGACGUGAAAUCCCCCGGCUUAACCUGGGAACUGCGUCUGAUACUGGGAAGCUUGAGUUCGGGAGAGGGAUGUAGAAUUCCAGGUGUAGCGGUGAAAUGCGUAGAUAUCUGGAGGAAUACCGGUGGCGAAGGCGGCAUCCUGGACCGAAACUGACGCUGAGGCGCGAAAGCUAGGGGAGCAAACGGG